AGAGUUUGAUCCUGGCUCAGGACCAACGCUGGCGGCGUGCGUAACACAUGCAAGUCGAACGCGCGGGGGGCAACCUCUGGCGCGUGGCGGACGGGUGAGGAACACGUGAGGAACCUGGCCUUUGGUGGGGGAUAACCCUCAGAAAUGAGAGCUAAUCCCGCAUACGGCUCGUGUCGGAGGGGGCACGAGAGAAAGCAGCAAUGCGCCGAAGGAGGGGCUUGCGGCCGAUUAGCUAGUUGGUGUGGUAAGAGCGCACCAAGGCGACGAUCGGUAGCUGGUCUGAGAGGACGAGCAGCCACACUGGGAUUGAGAACGGCCCAGACUCCUACGGGGGGCAGCAGUGAGGAAUCUUCGGCAAUGGGGGCAACCCUGACCGAGCGACGCCGCGUGCGGGAAGACGGCCUUCGGGUUGUAAACCGCUUUUCUGGGGGACGAGAAACGGACGGUACCCCAGGAAGAAGCCUCGGCUAACUACGUGCCAGCAGCCGCGGUA
rnacentral:rRNA from 1 species